ACAGUUGCCAUCGGUAAGGCCGGGCACUCUGGAUGGACUGCCGGCGACAAGCCGGAAGGAAGGUGGGGAUGACGUCAAGUCAUCAUCGGCCCUUAUGUCCAGGGCGACACACGUGCUACAAUGGCCGGCACGAACGGGAAGCGAAGGAGCGAUCCGGAGCGAAUCCUAAAAAAGCCGGUCCCAGUUCGGAUUGCAGGCUGAAACUCGCCUACAUGAAGUUGGAGUUGCUAGUAAUCGCGAAUCAGAAUGUCGCGGUGAAUGCGUUCCCGGGUCUU
rnacentral:rRNA from 1 species